AGCUCCAGAUAAGCUGCGUAUUUGCGUGAUCACGCAAUACAAAUGAUUAAAAACCCAAUGCAAUUGCCCAUUGCAGGGUUCAAUAACCCAAUUAAUUCAAAGGAAAACCCAAUUAUAUGCCAAAACCAUGAGUUCUUAACGCUUUUAUUCGCUAUCGUUUGCGUUAUUUACCCUUAUCUUAUUACAAUCGUCGCGUAAAUCUAUUUUUAUAAUAUUUAUAAUUGGAAAUUUCCUUUCGUUCUAAAAAUAGAGCCCUGCAUCAAGUAGCUGAAAUGGGUCCCUGUUGGAAUUUUCCGUUGCUCGAAAGGUACACGUGUUUAAGAAAACAUUUCGAUCUUCUCGGAGUUUAUCCAAUUAGCGUUUGUCAUGUUUUCAUAUUUUUUUCGAAUUGCUCGGGACUUAUCGUAACAUACAAUGAAUUAAAACGAAAGUAAAUGGCCGGUAAAAAUAUUGAAUAGAAGCAUGUUUUUAGCUUCUUUUUGAUAGCUGAGGACAAGUUAUGAUGAUAACAAGACUCAUCUAGUGUUUUAUGAAGCGUCCGUCGAACGCACGGGCAUGUUUGCGUACCUUAACGAGAACAUUGCUAGAACGAUAAACACGGGGUUUCUUCAAGAACGAAAUCAGUUGGAAAAAGUGAAAGGCCAAAUUAAUUAUGACAUGAUAUGUAGUUGGAAAGCAUCGGAAACCAAAAGUUCUAAUAAGGGGCAACUUAACCCAGAUUUAUGAAAUUUCUAUUAGUAAAUGAAUCAAAUGAAGAAUCUUCAUGGUUAAAUGCAUAGAAAGGAUAUUUGAAGAGAGCCAAUGAUUGACAUAAGGAGAAGCAGUUAUGAAUUUUGAAAUUGAUAUAAAGGAGAGGUCAUUCAUCACAGAAGAUUUAAUCAAAGUUUACAGUAUGUUGAGAGAAGUUCAGAACAAGCAAUUGGGUUGAAGAGGAGUUGUCAACACGUCAUCUUUGAACAAGGUCAAUUGUAUUAGAAGUGAAUCCUUAACAGAAAUGAGACAAUAAUCAAAUAAUUCAAAGACUACAUGGAUGUUAUCUGGACUAGCAUUUGUAUGACCUAAAUGUGGUAUUUUUCAUAUGAACACUUACAAGGCAGAUAAUAGUCUGUGACAAACAUUUGUAUGCAAUUAAAAACUUAAAGAACUUGUACGGUAUUCUUCAGAUUUCAGUAGAAUUUGUUUAAAACGGUACAUUCUUGGUAUGAAUUGAAGAAUUUUUGCUCAUUUAAAUGAAUUAUGAAAAUGUUUUAUAUGUUUAGAAUAAACAAAAACAACAUAAAAGAUAGACAAAUUUUUAUUUUCUUUCUUGAAACUUAUAACAGAAUAAAUUGUCAUAUGCUAA